rnacentral:rRNA from 1 species
AACGAACGCUGGCGGCAUGCCUAACACAUGCAAGUCGAACGAGACCUUCGGGUCUAGUGGCGCACGGGUGCGUAACGCGUGGGAACCUGCCUUUAGGUUCGGAAUAACUCAGAGAAAUUUGAGCUAAUACCGGAUGAUGUCUUCGGACCAAAGAUUUAUCGCCUUUAGAUGGGCCCGCGUUGGAUUAGCUAGUCGGUGGGGUAAAGGCCUACCAAGGCGACGAUCCAUAGCUGGUCUGAGAGGAUGAUCAGCCACACUGGGACUGAGACACGGCCCAGACUCCUACGGGAGGCAGCAGUGGGGAAUAUUGGACAAUGGGCGAAAGCCUGAUCCAGCAAUGCCGCGUGAGUGAUGAAGGCCUUAGGGUUGUAAAGCUCUUUUACCCGAGAUGAUAAUGACAGUAUCGGGAGAAUAAGCUCCGGCUAACUCCGUG